rnacentral:misc_RNA from 1 species
GAUGAAGAACGUAGCGAAAUGCGAUAAAUAAUGUGAAUUGCAGAAUUCAGUGAAUCAUCGAAUCUUUGAACGCACAUUGCGCCCGCCAGUAUUCUGGCGGGCAUGCCUGUUCGAGCGUCAUUACAACCCUCAGGCCCCCGGGCCUGGCGUUGGGGAUCGGCGGAAGCCCCCUGCGGGCACAACGCCGUCCCCCAAAUACAGUGGCGGUCCCGCCGCAGCUUCCAUUGCGUAGUAGCUAACACCUCGCAACUGGAGAGCGGCGCGGCCACGCCGUAAAACACCCAACUUCUGAAUGUUGACCUCGAAUCAGGUAGGAAUACCCGCUGAACUUAAGCAUAUCAAUAAGCGGAGGA